UUGCGUGUCCUUACGCAGAGCAGAGAGCUACACCAACAGCCCUGCACUGCACUGCACUAUAUGCAUGUGUGUGUGUGUGUGUGUGUGUUCAUCUGCCUCACAACGAAACCUCACUUUUCUCUGCUGCGGUUGCUGCACUGCUUCUCAUUCCUCUUCGCCGCUGUUGUCGGCGCUGCAUCCGUCGUUGUCCUCCACGUGGAGGCGGUAGCUGCAGGCCAACGCGGCGGAGCGGCCAACUUGGCGUGUGUGCACUCGCGUGAAGAGCGAUCAAAGGGCGCCUUCGCGGGUGCUGAAGCCGAUUCGCCUGCCUCGUAGAAGCACUCGGGAGGGCGGCAUCGGUCACCAUCACCACCAUCGCGCAAGCGGACAAUAGCCUAGCCUGCGUGGACGAUCAACACGCAUCAGAUCGGUACACAAGCAGCGCUGCCGCUUGCGUUGGAGUUUACGGCUGUUGCUGCUUCACGGCAUCCUCGCUCAGCUCCCCAUCCCCCCCCCUCGUGCUUCUCUUCUCAG
rnacentral:misc_RNA from 1 species